AUCUAAACCCUUCCCAGAGUAUCAAUUGGAGGGCAAGUCUGGUGCCAGCAGCCGCGGUAAUUCCAGCUCCAAUAGCGUAUAUUAAAGUUGUUGCAGUUAAGAAGCUCGUAGUUGAAUUUCUGCCUUGUCAUUAAUCUCGCUUCCGAGCGUUUUUUUAUUGGCUUGGCAUCUUCUGGAUUUGGUGCCUUCGGGUACUAUUUUCCAGGAUUUACUUUGAGAAAACUAGAGUGUUUCAAACAGGCAUUCGCCUUGAAUACUACAGCAUGGAAUAAUGAAGUAGGACUUUGGUUC
rnacentral:rRNA from 1 species